CGGGGUAUAGCUCAGUCCGGUAUGAGUGCUUGUAUGGGGUGCAAGAGGUCGCUGGUUCGAAUCCAGUUGCCCCGA
rnacentral:tRNA from 1 species